ACAUUUGCAUCCGUAUUUGGUUUUAGUCCCGUUGUCACGGAACUAAAUGAAGAGGGAAUCCGGUGAUUCCGAAAGGAAGAUUCCGGAGCUGUACCCGCAGCUGUAAGUUCUAUUAAUGUUUUUGACACCACUUUUGCCACUGUGCGCUGAACGCGUAUGGGAAGGCGUCAAAAACAGGAGCGAGCCAGAAGACCUGCCAAAAAUUCAGUUCGUAG
rnacentral:ncRNA from 2 species